AUCAAAAAAUAACUGAAAGUAAUCCAGAAAUUACAUUACUGAUUACAAGGUAACUAGUAACUGUAACCAAUUACAUUUAGAAAGUAUAAUACUCAAACCUGCAUAUGUUUUCUGAGGUAUUCUCACUCACUGAUUCUAAAACCAUGGUUCUUGGGCCACUUUCUCUCCACUCAAUACUUUUGAGGUGAGGUCUGUUAUAUGGCCUGUGUUGAGAGUGUUCUUGUUUUCUCAGAACUAAUCUACCCUCUGGCUUGUCACUGGGUCCGGGACCAGCAAGGCAUCGUCAGUCAAACCUCUGCCUCCUACCCAUCACAGCUUCAAAUCGUUUCUUCACCCGGACGAAUGAGGAGCGCUCUAUUCGCAUUGGACAUUUCCAGAUUCCUCUGGUCUGUGAGAAGAAAGAAGAUGAGAGGAGAGAAUACAAAUUAUUACCAAAUUAGCCAUCUACUCAGCCCUUCUAAUGAGCAGGAAACAAAAAUAUAAACCCAACAUGUAAAGUGUUGGUUCCCAUGUUUCAUGAGCUGAAAUAAAAUACCCCAGAAAUGUUCCAAAUGCACGAAAAUCUAAUUUCUCUCACAUUUUGUGCACAAAUGUGUUUACAUUGCAUUUAUUUCACCCUACAACUUUAUAAAUAAGCGGAAAAGCCUUAUUCUGUGGGGUUUAUCAGCGGUUGACAUCCAAUGUUAAGGUGCAUUACCGCCACCUAAAUCGUACCUGCCAGCCCCAUUUGUCUUAAAAAAAAAAAAAGUUGGAAACUACUAUAUAACUAAUGAUGUUCUACUUAAUAAACUGUUUUAUACUCAAUUCCUCUAUCCCCUUCUCUGUCAUACCACUUCUCAACCUCUCUCUCCCUCCCUCUCAUAUUGUCCACACUGUAUUAACACAAAAGUUUGCAAUUCCUGGCAAUAACCACACUUUUAGGUGUUCAGCCGGCUGUGUCCUAGAGAAAAUGGGCUCCUCUUUCCUGUCCCUUCCUGCCAUCCUCCCCUCUCCAACUUUCCUUUGUAUUUGCUAGAGAUGCCUACCCUUAUUAUGCCUGCAUCACCACUGUCCAUAUGAGGCUCUUAGCCUCUGCCUUACUCAUGGGCACCUCUAUGUCCACCUCCCCACAAAUUCUUAUUUACAAUGACAGCCUACCGGGGAACAGUGGGUUAAUUGCCUUGUUCAGGGGCAGAACAACAUAUAUUUUUACCUUGUCAGCACAGGGAUUAAAUCUAGCAACCUUUCAGUUACUGACCCAACGCUCAAACCACUAGGCUACCUGCAUCCCCUAUAACUACACUGUUUGGCUUGACUUCCUCCACCCACUGCAAUGCCAACAGUACAGCUAUCGCCUCUGCUGUGUAAACAGCGAAGUGAUCCGUAAUGCGUUUCCUGACUGCCACCCCAUUUUCCUGUACAACAAAGGCUAAACCAGUCCAACCUGCCCUUGGGUCUUUUGAUUCGGCAUAAAAUCCUGAUAUACAGUAUACAGCAAUCUUUAAAUAACUUGAAUAAAUCAACCCUCACCCUGUCUUUCCUUAAUCUCUCCAACAUGUGUAGACCAACUACUGGAGUAGGGAGUAGCCAUGGUGGACUCACAGGGAUAGGUAAGGUUGGGUUACACUCCCUGUCAUACAGUCCCAUCUGCCUCACCUCGGUAUUACGCACCCAUCCAAAGCUUGUAUUCACACCACGUUUAUGUUCCCAACAUGCCUGUAACAGUCACCCCUUUCAUGGGGUGAGACAUGCCAUGUCCCUGUAAGUUCACCCAAUAUUUGAUUGCCAGCUGUUGUCAGCUGUUGUCUUCUAAUAUGUAAUGGCAUCUUCCCCCAUCUCCAGCUGUGGAGCUAACACGGGAGAGGUCAGAAAGGUCCCACUACAGUUCUUGCACCUGUAUGACAUCAUGACAUCAACCCUUUCCAGUGAUGUCCUGGCUGCCAAACCAUACACUAUAGUUCCAUAGUCUAAUACAGCUAGGAUCAAAGCAACAUACAGUUGAAGUCGGAAGUGUAGAUACACUUAGGUUGGAGUCAUUAAAACGGCUUUUUCAACCACUCCACAAAUUUCUUGUUAACAAACUAUAGUUUUGGCAAGUCGGUUAGGACAUCUACUUUGUGCAUGACACAAGUCAUAUGUCCAACAAUUGUUUACAUACAGAUUAUUUCACGUAUAAUUCACUGUAUCACAAUUCCAGUGGGUCAGAUGUUUACAUACACUAAGUUUGCUGUGCCUUCAAACAGCUUGGAAAAUUCCAGAGAAUGGUGUCAUAGCUUUAGAAGCUUCUGAUAGGCUAAUUUACAUAAUUUGAGUCAAUUGGGGGUGUACCCGUGGAUGUAUUUCAAGGCCUACCUUCAAAGUCAGAGCCUCUUUGCUUGACAUCAUUGGCAAAUCAAAAGAAAUCAGCCAAGACCUCAGAAAAUAAAUUGUAGACCUCCACAAGUCUGGUUCUUCCUUGGGAGCUAUUUCCAAAUACCUGAAGGUACCACGUUCAUCUGUACAAACAAUAGUACGCAAGUAUAAACACCAUGUGACCAUGCAGCCGUCAAACCGUCUCCUAGAGAUGAACAUACUUUGGUAAGAAAAGUGCAAAUCAAUCCCAGAACAACAGCAAAGGACCUUGUGAAGAUGCUGGAGGAAACAGGUACAAAAGUAUCUAUAUCCACAGUAAAAUGAAUCCUAUAUCGACAUAACCUGAAAGGCUGCUCAGCAAGGAAGAAGCCACAGCUCCAAAACCGCCAUAAAAAACAGACUACGGUUUGCAACUGCACGUGGGGACAAAGAUCGUACUAUUUGGAGAAAUGUCCUCUGGUCAAAUGAAACAAAAAUGGAACUGUUUGGCCAUAAUGACCAUCGUUAUGUUUGGAGGAAAUCGGGGAGGCUUGCAGGCUGAAGAACACCAUCCCAACCGUGA
rnacentral:lncRNA from 13 species